rnacentral:rRNA from 1 species
GAUGAACGCUGGCGGCGUACCUAAUACAUGCAAGUCGAGCGAACAGACGAGGAGCUUGCUCCUCUGACGUUAGCGGCGGACGGGUGAGUAACACGUGGAUAACCUACCUAUAAGACUGGGAUAACUUCGGGAAACCGGAGCUAAUACCGGAUAAUAUAUUGAACCGCAUGGUUCAAUAGUGAAAGACGGUUUUGCUGUCACUUAUAGAUGAAUCCGCGCCGCAUUAGCUAGUUGGUAAGGUAACGGCUUACCAAGGCGACGAUGCGUAGCCGACCUGAGAGGGUGAUCGGCCACACUGGAACUGAGACACGGUCCAGACUCCUACGGGAGGCAGCAGUAGGGAAUCUUCCGCAAUGGGCGAAAGCCUGACGGAGCAACGCCGCGUGAGUGAUGAAGGUCUUCGGAUCGUAAAACUCUGUUAUUAGGGAAGAACAAAUGUGUAAGUAACUAUGCACGUCUUGACGGUACCUAAUCAGAAAGCCACGGCUAACUACGUG